CUGCGAAUGGCUCAUUAAAUCAGUUAUCGUUUAUUUGAUAGUACCUUACUACACGGAUAUCUGUGGUAAUUCUAGAGUUAAUACGUGCUAAAAACCUCGACUUCGGAAGGGGUGUAUUUAUUAGACUAAAAACCAAUGCCCUUCGGGGCUCCUUGGUGAUUCAUAAUAACUCAACGAAUCGCAUGGCCUUGCGCCGGCGAUGGUUCAUUCAAAUUUCUGCCCUAUCAACUUUCGAUGCUAGGGUAGUGGCCUAGCAUGGUUACAACGGGUAACGGGGGAUUAGGGUUCUAUUCCGGAGAGGGAGCCUGAGAAACGGCUACCACAUCCAAGGAAGGCAGCAGGCGCGCAAAUUACCCAAUCCCGACACGGGGAGGUAGUGACAAUAAAUACUGAUACAGGGCUCUUUUGGGUCUUGUAAUUGGAAUGAGUACGAUUUAAACACCCUAACGAGGAACAAUUGGAGGGCAAGUCUGGUGCCAGCAGCCGCGGUAAUUCCAGCUCCAAUAGCGUAUAUUAAAGUUGUUGCAGUUAAAACGCUCGUCGUUGAACCUUGGGCCUGGGCGACCGGUCUCCCUCACCGGAUGCACUGGUUCGGCCGGGCCUUUCCUUCUGGGGAAUCGCAUGCCCUUCGCUGGGCGUGUCGAGGAUCCAGGACUUUUACUUUGAAAAAAUUAGAGUGUUCAAAGCAGGCCUUUGCUCGAAUACCUUAGCAUGGAAUAAUAGAAUAGGACGUCGGUCCUAUUUUGUUGGUUUCUAGGACCGCCGUAAUGAUUAAUAGGGUCAGUUGGGGGCAUCAGUAUUCAAUUGUCAGAGGUGAAAUUCUUAGAUUUAUUGAAGACUAACUACUGCGAAAGCAUUUGCCAAAGAUGUUUUCAUUAAUCAGUGAACGAAAGUUAGGGGAUCGAAGACGAUCAGAUACCGUCGUAGUCCUAACCAUAAACUAUGCCGACUAGGGAUCGGGCGAUGUUAUCAUUUUGACUCUCUCGGCACCUUACGAGAAAUCAAAAUGUUUUGGUUCUGGGGGAAUAUGUCGCA
rnacentral:rRNA from 1 species